AACAGGUCCACGGUGGGGUGGGGGUGGGGGGCUUGUCUGUUCACGUGGCAUAUGUCAUCUCUCCCAGAAAAUAAUCGUAGUUAACUCUGUCCAAGUUCUUGACAGGUGCCAGGCAUGAUGUUAAGUGUGCUGUCCACAAUCCCAUUUCGUGUUGAUGACGACCAUGUGAGGGAAAGUCUGUUCCUCCCUCUCAUGAAUAGCUUUGUCUUCUGCACACUCUCUGAGACUUAGGAUAAGAAGGCGUUCCGGCAAAUGGAGCCGUUGCGACUAAUGGGUUUCUCUGCCCUCAGGUCCCCAAGAGGACCCCCAGCCCCCUUGAGAUGGUGUUCCAGCCCAUGUGGAUGUGGUUGGUUUUGUGACCUCAUGACACUAGGGCAAAGGGGCCCUUGUGCUUGGAUGAACAUGUGGCUGGUGCCUCCUGAGAAGAACUGGCUAUAUACAACCUGCAGGCCUCUGUGCCCAAGGAAAACGUGCGGUGCUUUGUGCAAAAAUUGUUAAGAAUUUCGGGGCGCCUGGGUGGCUCAGUCAGUUAAGCGACUUCGGCUCAGGUCAUGAUCUCGCAGUUUGUGUGUUCCAGCCCCGCGUCAGGCUCUGUGCUGACAGCUCAGAGCCUGGAGCCUGCUUCGGAUUCUGUGUCUCCCUCUCUCUGCCCUUCCCCUGCUCUCUGUCUCUUUGUCUCUCUGUCUCUCUCUCAAAAAUGAAUAAACUUAAAAAAAAAAAAAAAAGAAUUUCAAGAUGGUGACAGGGCACAUUAAGCCAAGUGUGGGCCCUUCUGGGUACAGUCCCAUGAACUGCACAAGCCACAUACCCACAAAGUUGGUCCGGCCCCCAGUGUUCAUGUGCAGACCUCCCUCUUGUUAAGGUCUAUGGCCGAGUGAAGGCUAUUGGAGUCUGCGCUCCUGGGACUUGGUCAGAUCCAAAGAUGGCUCUGACCUUUCUUGCCUCUGGGAGGGGUGCUAUGCCCCAUCCCCCACCAGGGCCCAGGAGGUUAGCCCUAUAGCCCUUUGAUAUGGAGUCCACAAGUCCCUGCCCAAAGGUCCCAACCCCAAAUCAAGCCAGAAGCCCACUCACCUCCUCGCUCUCCCAGGAAUGUGGAUACUUCCGGUCCUGCCCACCUCACAUGGAAACAAGGGCACUUGGAGGAAGUAGAUUCAGGGCUUCCCUUUUCCUACCAGGUGGGGAAGGCAGGCUGGGAGGCCACCUGCCCCCGCCCCGACCCAGACUCCUAAAAAGGAGGUGUAACAGAGGCCCCUAUGUAAUGCCUCACCCAUGGGCACCCCCUGCCUGGGGAGAGGUGUUUAUGAUACAGGCUCAGUGUCCCUGUCUCCAUGUCCCUCUUACUGCACGAGCCGCUGGGCUCAAAGAGACAGAUCCCCUCCGAUUCAGUGCUUCUUGAGCUACUAAAGGGGGAACUAAAGUAAUUUCAAGAACCUUUACCUCUCUUGACCAAACCUGGCUUCCUAAUCUGGCUGCAUACUUAAAAAUCCUAUUUUGUGCAUCAAAACUGAUAUUAGCUUUCCUCCUUUUUGUGAAUCCUCUACCCCUGUCUCCCAGGAAACUGAAAUGGCUUUGUGUUCUCAUGGCUGGAUCUGGAGCCCUGGCAGAACAGUUUCACAAGGACAAGUGCCAAAGGACAGAGGGCAUGGCCCCGUGGCUCACUCAUAGUAGGAAGACCCACCCUGCUUGGGUGAGGUCCCUGUGCUAGGGUGCCAAGGGUGGGAGAUGCAGAGAUCCCCCCUUUCAGAUGAAAUCUCAAGGAGGAACAAAUGUGAAUUUAGCAAAGGAACCAAACAAAGCAUCUUCUGGCUGAAUCCAACCACUAAAAGAACAGAAGGAAGACUGGACACUGGGAAUGAGGGAGUGAGGUGAGGCAGGAGGCAGAUCUGGCAGGAUCAUGUUGUAUUCUGAGAGAGAUGUGUUCCCAUCCCUGGGAAGCUGUGAUGUGGUCUCAAACAAGGCACAGUCACCACCAGAUCUGCGUCUUGAAAAGACCCCCGCUGGUUGGUGCACAGAGCCUGGCUCCAAGGAGAGAGAGUGUCCUCAGUUGGGAGGACAGAGCUGACCAUGUGGUGGCAGCAAGUGAGGAGAGAUGUUUAAGAGGUAACACUGGUGAGCCCUAGAGGUAGACAGUCAUUAAAUAAGCCAAGAGUUGAUUCCCCGACACAAGCCAAAACUACACAUUAAAAUCAACUCGGGGGGCGCCUGGAUGACUCGGUUGGUUAAGCUGCCGACUCUUGAUGUUGGCUCAGGCCAUGAUCUCACAGUUCGUGAGGACAAGCCCCAUGUCGGGCUCUGUGCUGACAACAAGGAGCCUGCUUGGGAUUCUCUCUCCCUCUCUCUCUCUGCCCCUACCCCAGUCACUCUCCCUUUCUCUCUCUCUCUCUCUCUCAAAAAUAAAUAAAUAGACAUUUAAAAAAAUCAGCUCGGAAACUGGCAGGGAUGUGGACCAAUGGAAAGUCUUACUAGCUGCUGAUGGGAACGUACAAGGGUAUGCCCACCUUGGAGAACAGUCCAAAAGUUCAAGAACUUCUACAUCUGCCAUGUGGCCCAUUCUUUCCUGGGUGUCUACCCAAGAGAAACACACGUCUCCACACAGAGACUCAUACCUAUGUCCACAGCAGCUUCAUUUGCAGUAGCCAAAAAGUAGAAACAAUGGAAAUGUCCAUCAGUGGGGGAGCAUAUACAUAAAAUGUAGUGUGUCCACACAAUGGGAUGCUACUCGGCAGCCUGCUGAUCGAUAACAAUGUGAGUCCGUGGCAGCUCAUUCUACUGAAUGAAGGGAGCCAGGUAAAAGAAGGCUACAUAUAAUAUGACUUCAUU